UACAGAGGUCUCAAGCGUUGUUCGGAUUCAUUGGGCGUAAAGGGCGCGUAGGCGGCGAGGUAAGUCAGGCGUGAAAUUUCGGAGCUUAACUCCGAAACUGCAUUUGAUACUGCGGUGCUUGAGGACUGGAGAGGAGACUGGAAUUCACGGUGUAGCAGUGAAAUGCGUAGAUAUCGUGAGGAAGACCAGUGGCGAAGGCGGGUCUCUGGACAGUUCCUGACACUGAGGCACGAAGGCCAGGGGAGCAAACGGG
rnacentral:rRNA from 1 species